rnacentral:rRNA from 1 species
AAAGGAAUAGACGGGGGCUCACACAAGCGGUGGAGCAUGUGGAUCAAUUCGAAGCAACGCGAAGAACCUUACCUGGGUUUGACAUGCACGGAUGGUCUUGAGGAAACUCGAGUAAUCUGCCUUCGGGUGAAACGUGCACAGGUGCUGCAUGGCUGUCGUCAGCUCGUGCUGUGAAGUGUCGGGUUAAGUCCCAUAACGAGCGAAACCCUUGUCGCUAGUUACCAGCGGGUCAUGCCGGGGACUCUAGCGAGACUGCCGGUGUUAAACCGGAGGAAGGCGGGGAUGACGUCAAGUCAUCAUGGCCUUUAUGCCCAGGGUGUCACACGUGCUACAAUGGGGCAUACAGAGCGACGCAAGGCCGCAAGGCGGAGCAAAUCGCACAAAAUGCCUCUCAGUUCGGAUUGGGGUCUGCAACUCGACCCCAUGAAGUUGGAAUCGCUAGUAAUCGCGCAUCAGCCAUGGCGCGGUGAAUGUGUUCCUGAGCCUUGUACACACCGCCCGU